rnacentral:lncRNA from 1 species
GUGGCUAUAAAUAGGUCAAGGUGCUGGGUAUCUGAUGAAUCGAAGAGAGGUUUCCAAUUUCUCUCUGUUGCUCUCUUUUCUUUCUUACAACCUAUCUUAGUUUUAGGACAAGGCUUUGGGAUUUAAGACAAAGCCUUAUCUGCUCCAAACAAGGAUUGUAAGGGUUCUAAAGAAGGAGAAUCAAAAGUUCAGAGGAGAUUCUAAGAGGGUGAGGUCAAGUUCUUGAAGAAACUUGAUUGGUACGAGGCUAGUCGAGUUUUAGGGGCUAGAACUCUUGAAGCAAGGUGAAGGAGCGCUGUCUUUGGUUGAAUUUUCGUGUGG